rnacentral:tRNA from 1 species
AGGCGCGUAGCUCAGGGGUAGAGCACUACCUUGACACGGUAUAGGUCCGCGGUUCAAAUCCGCGCGCGCCUACCA